rnacentral:ncRNA from 2 species
UUGAUUGAAUCGGGAGAACUGGCAGCAGCCGGUGCCGAAGGAGCAACCGCCCCGGAAACUCUCAGGCGACAGGACCUUUUCGAUCGA